rnacentral:piRNA from 1 species
UACUGUGUGCCUGAGCCCAUGUGUAC